rnacentral:rRNA from 1 species
GUCGUUGCUCGAUCUAGUUUGUGUCUAGUGGCUCGAUAGUAGACAGGCACACACGAUCGACGAUUAAGAGAUUAGCUAGUACCCACCUCCGGUGCUGUACGUGCCGCCGGUGUUGCCGCCGCACUUCCCGAAGCACUUGCCGCCCUUUCCGGUGCCGAUGCCUAGCAGUAUGCCGGUCCCCGUGCCGAUGCCGCCACCGGUACAUGUCCCGAUGGUCGUCCCGAUGCCGCCGGUACCGGUCUCGAUGCUCGUGCCCAUGCCGCCGGUACGAGUCGUGCCCGUGCCGCGGAUGCUCGUGCCCAUGCCGCCGCCUGUACGCGUCGUGCCGGUACCGGUGCCCGUGCCCAUGCCGCCUGUGCACGUCGUCGUGCCUAUGCCGCCGCCGGUGCGCGUCGAGCCCAUGGGAGGACGACGGCCACGGAUGGGAGGCGUGCCGCCUAUGGUCCGCGUGCCGAUGCGCGGCCGCCGGAUGGGGAGGGUGCCCCGCGUGGUGCCAGUGUACCCUAGCAUGGUGUGGCCCGUACCGCCGCCCGUGGUGGUGCCGCCGUUCAUGGUGCCGCCGUUCGUGCCGCCGUUCAUGGUACCGCCGUUCGUGCCGUCAUCCACCACUUCAUGACUUCACCGAUCGACGUCGGUAACGAGCGCGCGAGAUGCUGCAGGUGCAUGGACGCGGGGGGGUACCGGUCAAUGCGACCGCAUAGAGGUAGUAGACGGAAUCAACUAAGUCGUACGAGACAACAUCGCUGCUUAUUACAGAAUGUAAUAACCUUGCUUCCCUCAUAUAAUAUAUAACAUAAUGGUUUUAUUUCUCGAUGCGCACGUACCCGUAUUACACACUAUACAUUACUAGACACAUGGGAUUUUUUUUCAUUACUAGACACACCACUGCAUUCAGACAGCCCGUACCGAGUUAUCCUCAUGAUUUAUUUGC